rnacentral:rRNA from 1 species
AGCCCGCGCCCGAUUAGCUAGUUGGUGAGGUAACGGCUCACCAAGGCAAUGAUCGGUAGCUGGUCUGAGAGGAUGAUCAGCCACACUGGAACUGAGACACGGUCCAGACUCCUACGGGAGGCAGCAGUGGGGAAUCUUGCACAAUGGGCGAAAGCCUGAUGCAGCGACGCCGCGUGGGGGAUGAAGCUUCUCGGAGUGUAAACCCCUUUCGCCUGGGACGAAUGCCCGCAAGGGAGUGACGGUACCAGGAUAAGAAGCCCCGGCUAACUACGUGCCAGCAGCCGCGGUAAGACGUAGGGGGCCAGCGUUGUUCGGAAUUACUGGGUGUAAAGGGUUCGUAGGCGGUGUGGCAAGUUGGGAGUGAAAUCUCUGGGCUCAACCCAGAGGCUGCUUCCAAAACUGCUGUGCUUGAGUGUGAGAGAGGCUCGUGGAAUUGCAGGUGUAGCGGUGAAAUGCGUAGAUAUCUGCAGGAACACCCGUGGCGAAAGCGGCGAGCUGGAUCACUACUGACGCUGAGGAACGAAAGCUAGGGGAGCAAACAGGAUUAGAUACCCUGGUAGUCCUAGCCCUAAACGAUCAGGACUUGGGGUGCCGCCCGUUCGGGCGUCGUCCCGGAGCUAACGCGUUAAGUCCUGCACCUGGGGAGUACGGUCGCAAGACUGAAACUCAAAGGAAUUGACGGGGGCCCGCACAAGCGGUGGAACAUGUGGUUCAAUUCGACGCUACGCGAGGAACCUUAC